GCCUGAUCCAGCCAUGCCGCGUGCAGGAUGACGGUCCUAUGGAUUGUAAACUGCUUUUGUACGAGAAAAAACACUCCUAUGUAUAGGAGCUUGACGGUAUCGUAAGAAUAAGGAUCGGCUAACUCCGUGCCAGCAGCCGCGGUAAUACGGAGGAUCCAAGCGUUAUCCGGAAUCAUUGGGUUUAAAGGGUCCGUAGGCGGUUUAAUAAGUCAGUGGUGAAAGCCCAUCGCUCAACGGUGGAACGGCCAUUGAUACUGUUAAACUUGAAUUAUUAGGAAGUAACUAGAAUAUGUAGUGUAGCGGUGAAAUGCUUAGAGAUUACAUGGAAUACCAAUUGCGAAGGCAGGUUACUACUAAUUGAUUGACGCUGAUGGACGAAAGCGUGGGUAGCGAACAGGAUUAGAUACCCUGGUAGUCCACGCCGUACACGAUGGAUACUAGCUGUUGGGAGCAAUCUCAGUGGCUAAGCGAAAGUGAUAAGUAUCCCACCUGGGGAGUACGUUCGCAAGAAUGAAACUCAAAGGAAUUGACGGGGGCCCGCACAAGCGGUGGAGCAUGUGGUUUAAUUCGAUGAUACGCGAGGAACCUUACCAAGGCUUAAAUGUAGAUUGACCGGUUUGGAAACAGAUCUUUCGCA
rnacentral:rRNA from 1 species